UUCCAGACUCCUACGGGAGGCAGCAGUAGGGAAUAUUGCUCAAUGGGGGGAACCCUGAUGCAGCGACGCCGCGUGGGUGAAGAAGCGCCUCGGCGCGUAAAGCCCUGUCAGCAGGGAAGAAAAUGACGGUACCUGAAGAAGAAGCCCCGGCUAACUACGUGCCAGCAGCCGCGGUAAUACGUAGGGGGCGAGCGUUAUCCGGAUUCACUGGGUGUAAAGGGAGCGUAGACGGCCAAGCAAGCCAGGGGUGAAAGCCCGGGGCCCAACCCCGGGACUGCCCUUGGAACUGCUUGGCUGGAGUGCGGGAGGGGCAGGCGGAAUUCCUGGUGUAGCGGUGAAAUGCGUAGAUAUCAGGAGGAACACCGGCGGCGAAGGCGGCCUGCUGGACCGCGGCUGACGUUGAGGCUCGAAAGCGUGGGGAGCGAACAGGAUUAGAUACCCGAGUA
rnacentral:rRNA from 1 species